UACGUAGGUGGCAAGCGUUGUUCGGAUUUACUGGGCGUAAAGGGCGCGUAGGCGGCCACCGCAAGUCGACUGUGAAAUCUCCGGGCUUAACCCGGAACGGUCAGCCGAUACUGCGGGGCUAGAGUGCAGAAGGGGCAACUGGAAUUCUCGGUGUAGCGGUGAAAUGCGUAGAUAUCGAGAGGAACACCUGCGGCGAAGGCGGGUUGCUGGGCUGACACUGACGCUGAGGCGCGAAAGCUAGGGGAGCGAACGGG
rnacentral:rRNA from 1 species